UACGAAGGGAGCUAGCGUUGUUCGGAAUCACUGGGCGUAAAGCGCACGUAGGCGGAUUGGUCAGUUAGGGGUGAAAUCCUGGAGCUCAACUCCAGAACUGCCCUUUAAUACUGCCAGUCUCGAGUCCGGAAGAGGUAAGUGGAACUCCUAGUGUAGAGGUGGAAUUCGUAGAUAUUAGGGAAGAACACCAGUGGCGAAGGCGGCUCACUGGUCCGGUACUGACGCUGAGGUGCGAAAGCGUGGGGAGCAAACAGG
rnacentral:rRNA from 1 species